CCUGUCACCAGAUAAAAAAUAAAAAGGCCUGGGGAUGCAGCUCAGUGGUAGAGCGCCUCUGGGUUCAAUCCCCAGUGCCGAAAAAUAAGUAGUAAGAGACUGAAAGUAGCAGUUUUAAGGCCCUUCUUACCAAUAUUUACCUGAAAUGAAUCCCAGGCUACCUUUUGAGGUACUCUUUCUUUUGUAAGAGAUAGUUUGGAUUUAUUUAUUAAAUCAACUUUUUGUACUUCCCUGAAAUGAUGGUGGCAAAAAAAAUACUGCUUUCUUCAAAUAUUAUAUCCCUAAUACGUUGUAUAAAUCCAGUUCAGCCAGAGGCGGUGGUGCACAUCUGUAAUCCCAACAACUUGAAAGGCUGAGAUAGGAGGAUCACAAGUUCAAAAGCAGCCUCAGCAAUUUAGCGAGAACCUGUAUCAAAAUAAAAUAUGAAAAGGGCUGGGUAUGGCUCAGUGGUUACACCCCCCUAGUUCAAUCCCUUGUUGCAAAAAAAAAAAAAAAAAAAAUCCAGUUCAGUGAAAUUAAUCAUUUUCUAGGGCCAUAUUAAAUUUGUAAAUGCUCUGUAAGAACAUUUUGUGAAGAUUUUUCUUUUAAAAAGUUCAUCUGUCUUUUAUAAAUAUCUGUCCUUUAUAAACAUAUCAGUCAGUAUGUUUACAUGCAUUUAUCCAUGUAAUUUACAUUUAUCCAUGUAAUUUAUCUGUUAUUUACAUUGAAUUGAACAGCACAGGCUUUAGAUGGAUGGAUACAAUUUACAUUCUGUCUUUACUGCACAAGAUUUAGCAAAUUACUUGUACUCCCUGAGUCUGUUUUCUGUUCUUCAAGGGUUGUAGGAAUUUUAAAAUGUAUAUGUAGC
rnacentral:lncRNA from 1 species